GACGAACGCUGGCGGCGUGCUUAACACAUGCAAGUCGAACGGAAAGGCCCUGCUUUUGUGGGGUGCUCGAGUGGCGAACGGGUGAGUAACACGUGAGUAACCUGCCCUUGACUGUGGGGUAACUUCAGGAAACUGGGGCUAAUACCGGAUAGGAGCUCCUGCUGCAUGGUGGGGGUUGGAAAGUUUCGGCGGUUGGGGAUGGACUCGCGGCUUAUCAGCUUGUUGGUGGGGUAGUGGCUGACCAAGGCUUUGACGGGUAGCCGGCCUGAGAGGGUGACCGGCCACAUUGGGACUGCGAUACGGCCCAGACUGCUACGGGAGGCAGCAGUGGGGAAUAUUGCACAAUGGGCGGAAGCCUGUUGCAGCAACGCCGCGUGCGUGAUGACGGCCUUCGGGUGGUAAACCGCUUUCGCCGGUGACGAAGCGUGAGUGACGGUACUGGGUAAAGAAGCACCGGCUAACUACGUG
rnacentral:rRNA from 1 species